UACGAAGGGGGCUAGCGUUGCUCGGAAUUACUGGGCGUAAAGCGCACGUAGGCGGCUUUCUAAGUCGGGGGUGAAAUCCUGGAGCUCAACUCCAGAACUGCCUUCGAUACUGGAGAGCUCGAGUCCGGGAGAGGUGAGUGGAACUGCGAGUGUAGAGGUGAAAUUCGUAGAUAUUCGCAAGAACACCAGUGGCGAAGGCGG
rnacentral:rRNA from 1 species